UUUUGUACUUACGAGUGAAAGUAGCACCAAUCUCAACAGCACCGCCGCCGAGGGUUCCGGACGGAUCCUCCGCUUCCGAUCUCGCCGAGGUUUCCCGGCGGCUGGCUCCUCCGCCCUCCGACGGCCGGUUCUACCUCCCUCGCGGGCCUAUACCACUUUCCCCCAACCACUUUGCCCACUCCACGCCCUCCGACCAGCAAGAGGAAUGGCGUCGCCUCUGACGGAUCUCCCCGACCACCUCCUGACCGAGAUCCUCCUUCCGGCUGCCCGCCCCGGACGAUCUCGCCCGCGCCUCCUUCCGCCGACUCGCCACCGAACCAUCUCUCCUCCGCCGCUUCCGUCGCCUCCACGAACCACCACUCUUCGGCUUCCUCCAGUGCCACGGGUUCCAUCCUGCCCUGCCGCCUCACCCGCCUGCGCGCUCGCCCUCGCCGCCGACUUUUCCUUCUCCUUCCUCCCCUCCCACUGCCGCUGGACUGUCCAGGACUGCCGCGACGGCCGCGUCCUCCUCAAUCGUGAGCCCGAGAAGGGCGAGGAGCCCUCUGUCUUCCAGGAGCUCGUGGUAUGCGACCCCUUGCACCGUCGGUACAUCUUGCUCCCCCCGGUACCUGACGACCUAGCCCAUUCGGUUGAGCACCUGCUCCCCAAGUACAGCAGGUCCUGGUGCAAGCCUUUCCUCGUUCCCCUCGGCGAGGAGGAGACGGCGGAAGAGACAGAAUUCAAAGUCAUCUGGAUGGCUCAUUGCAAAACUAAGCUGUCUGCUUUCGUCUUCUCUUCGAGCACCGGAAUAUGGCAAGCUCCUGCAUCCAAGAGUUGGAAUGAUUUGGCCCUUGACAUUGAUGACUUGGUCAUGAUGCCACAGCUCCACCUUCUUUUCUCGGGCGCCACUAUGCUUAUGGUUGCUUCUACUGGGACUGGGUGAUAAUCAGGAGUGAAAAGUUGCUGGUGCUUGACAUCCGGAGGAUGGAGUUCUCCAUUGCUAAUCUACCACCUGCAGAUUGGAGUACAAAAGGUGUAGGCAUUGUAGAGGCAGGGGAAGGCAGGCUUGGGAUUUUGGGAUUCGAUGGUGACUUUACAUCUCAUCUCAGCUAUGCCGUUGCACGAAAUAAAGGCGAGAGUCCCAUCCAGUGGCAGAUGGAGAAGACAAUCUCACUAGAUUCUGGAUACAAACAUUUUAUUGAUGCUGCAACUGAGAGGCACUUGCUCUUGACAAGGAAACCAGCCUCAUCUGUACAUAGUUUACUCGUUGAUGAAUAUUUCUCAAUGGACGCCAAGACGUUGCAGCUACAGAGGGUUUGUGCCAAACAAUUUUCGCCUAGGUAUGGGACACACAUAUAUACCAACUUCCCACCAUCAUUGUUGUCUUCACGGGCAGUAUGAAGUGAUUCGAUGUACUCUUCGUCAGAUCUGCUUUCCAAGUUCAAAGGCACCAUGGUUUCGGUAGCAUGGAGUUCUCGCAGAUGUGAUCGCCUUUUUGACAAUAUGGCGUGUGCCAAUCUACAGAAUUUCACCUGGCAGUGGCUGUUUCUGUUGUUUUUGUUUUGAUGCUGCGUCUAGUUUCGGUUACUGUAACAUGCCUAAGAACUGGAUGUCGGUCAUCAGAUGAGCUUUGGGAGUUCAGAGUGAUGGUGGUUUCAUAGCUCGCAGAUAGAUGUGACCCCCUUGCUGACAAGAUGGCGCUUGACAAUCUACAGAAUUUCAAUUGGCUGUGGCCAUGUGUAUGUUGUCCUUGUUUUCAUGCUACUUUAUAGCCUCGGUCACCAUAACAUCGAUGCGUCUGUUCCUGUCUAAUUGAACGUGACAAUGAAUUUACAGUUCCAGUCAAUCAACAAUUGUGGCUGUAUAUCUGCAAUUCGUUUUUUUCUUCUUCUCAACUGUAUCAGAUAUGACGAUGAGCCUGGACAGGUGAAGUUGACAGGUGCGAAAAUGCUGUAACAGGACUGGUAAUCAAGCCAGCCCAACCCUACUGCAGCAUGUAAUUGGACUCGGUUGUUUGCCACGGCAUGACGACUUUCAUGAAGUUACCUGAUGGAUGGACAUGUUACAGAUGGAAAAAAGCUGAAGAAUCAGCAAAGCUACUCUGAGAGAGAGAGAGUGUGUGUGUGUGAGACAUCUUCAGAGGGUCCUCAGAUUGAUGCAGCUUCUUCUAUCAGAAGUUAUGCUACGUCCUGCUCCCCCCGCUGCCUCACGGCCUAGCCGCUUUGCUUGGGCACCCGUUCCCCCUGGUAAUCGAGGCCUGCUGCACGCGCUUCCUCGUUCCCCUCGCCGAGGAGGAGGCGUCGGCUGGAGCGAUAAAAUUCAGAGUCAUCUUGAUGGCACAUUGCAAAAAGAGUUCGGCUGCCUUCUACUUCUCCUUGAGCACCGAUCAAUGGCAAGCUGCUGUACCUAAGGAUUUAAAUGAUUUGGCCCUUGGCAAGGGCAAUAUUCACAGGCGCCAUUAUGCUUAUGGCUGUUUCUACUGGGACUGGUUGAAUUUCGGGAUGAAAAAGUUGCUCUUGCUUGACACCGUGACGAUGGAGUUCUCCACUGCUGACCUCCCCCCAGGAGGAUGGAGCAAGCAAGGUAUAGCCAUUGUGGAGGCAGGGGAAGGCAGGCUUGGGAUGUUUGGUUUCCACCGUGAAACUGCAUCCGAUCUAAGCUAUACCGUUGCACAGAACAAAGGCAAGAGUCCCAGCCAGUGGCAGAUGGAGAAGACAAUCUCACUAGAUUCUGGGUACAAAUAUUCUAUCGAAGAUGCAACACAGAGGUACUUGCUCUUUACAAGGAUUGAAGCCUCAUCUCUAGAGAAUUGACUUGUUGGAUUUUUCUCAAUGGAUGUCAAGACGUUGCAGCUUCAGAGGGUUUAUGAGACGCAACACCAUUCUAAGUAUCAGACAUACCCAUAUGUCAACUUCCACCAUCAUUGUUGUGUUCAAGGAGAAUAUGAAGCGAUUCGGUGGAGGUCGUCAUCAGAUCAGCUUUCUGAGUUCAAAGCGACCGCGGUUCUGAUAGCAUGGGGUUGUAAGUUGUGACAGAAGUGAUCACCUACAUUUCUGACACGAUGGCGCAUGACAGUGAAUUCAUCUGGCAGUAGUCAUGUGUAAGGUGAUCUUUUUUUCAUGGUACUUCUAGCUUUGAUGGUACUGUAGCAAAUGGUGUGGCUGUUCCUGGCCUAAAGUAAAGUCAGGCAAAAAGAAUUUGGUUGUUUGUUAUUGCUCUUCUCCACUGGGCUGAGGGCAGCGCUAAGCUGGGAGGACCAUCCAUCCAUCAACAGGGGGGGCGACCUGCAGAUCCUCUGAUUGAUACAGCUUCUUCUCUUAUGGCUGAUGGAUAUAGAUGAACGCAGUGCCUUCCAUUUCGCAAGCAAACGGUAGCCAUGAAACAAAGGGACAAGGGAAUUAAGAGGGGAAGGGGAAGAGGAAUUAGGAGGCCCAAGUCCCCUCAAACUCUUCCCUGGGGGACCCUGGUAAUUCAGCGUGGGAGUGGGAGUUGACGCCAAAAAAAAGCUCUACGCUAUUCCUCACGUCCCGCGGCGGCGUCCGGUGGCGGAAGGGAAAAAAGGACGAAAAUCCCAGCGAUAGCCCGGCAAAAUCCUAGCUAAUGACCCUAAUUUAGCAGCGCCGCCAUUCUUCCUCCAAACAAAUCGACGGCUGAGGUCACAGAUUUGUUCCAUCACUCCCGUUGUCCCUUUGUAGUUCACAAUCAAGAGUCACCAAAAGGCUAGAGGUGUGGAUUACUACUUUGAUUUAGUAUAUCAUUUGUUCCCUUGUUUGAUUCAUAAAAAUACUGUACAGAGGUCUCUGUCUUGAUUAGUUUGUCAUGUCCUUUUUACUUUUUUAGAAGCAUACAUGGGACAUGGAUGUGAAUAUUUACUAGAUGAAUUCUCUUGUACUUGUAUAAAUUUAUUUGCUAGUGUUCAGCUGUAGUUUGUUGGUCAUCGCUGGCUUGCCAUUGUGGCUGCUACUUGUACAUGUAGAGAACCAAUAUUGUACAUCAUGCCACCUGACACAUACAUGAAAAACGGCAACCCACAAUGUCUCUAACUUGUCGUUGUGGCUGCAUGUAGAGAACAAUAUGUAUAUAUGUCAU